GUGGGGAAUAUUGCGCAAUGGGGGAAACCCUGACGCAGCGACGCCGUGUGAGGAAGAAGGCUUUCGGGUCGUAAACCUCUGACAGGAAGGAAGAACCUCUCAAGGCUGAACAAGCCUUGGGACUGACGGUACUUCCAGAGGAAGCACCGGCUAACUCCGUGCCAGCAGCCGCGGUAAUACGGAGGGUGCAAGCGUUAAUCGGAAUCACUGGGCGUAAAGCGCGCGUAGGCCGUCUUUUAAGUCGGACGUGAAAGCCCUCGGCUCAACCGGGGAACUGCGUUCGAUACUGGGAGACUUGAGUCCUGGAGAGGGUGGCGGAAUUCCGGGUGUAGGAGUGAAAUCCGUAGAUAUCCGGAGGAACACCGGUGGCGAAGGCGGCCACCUGGACAGGUACUGACGCUGAGGCGCGAAAGCGUGGGGAGCAAACAG
rnacentral:rRNA from 1 species